rnacentral:rRNA from 1 species
GAUGAACGCUGGCGGCGUGCCUAAUACAUGCAAGUCGAGCGAACGGACGAGAAGCUUGCUUCUCUGAUGUUAGCGGCGGACGGGUGAGUAACACGUGGAUAACCUACCUAUAAGACUGGGAUAACUUCGGGAAACCGGAGCUAAUACCGGAUGAUAUUUUGAACCGCAUGGUUCAAAAGUGAAAGACGGUCUUGCUGUCACUUAUAGAUGGAUCCGCGCUGCAUUAGCUAGUUGGUAAGGUAACGGCUUACCAAGGCAACGAUGCAUAGCCGACCUAAGAGGGAGAUCAGCCAACCUGGAACUGAUCCCCGGGCCAGACUCCUGCGGGAGGGAGCAGUAGGGAAUCUUCCGCAAUGGGCGAAAGCCUGACGGAGCAACGCCGAGUGAGUGAUGAAGGUCUUCGGAUCGUAAAACUCUGUUAUUAGGGAAGAACAUAUGUGUAAGUAACUGUGCACGUCUUGACGGUACCUAAUCAGAAAGCCACGGCUAACUACGUG